rnacentral:misc_RNA from 1 species
GAUGAAGAACGUAGCGAAAUGCGAUAAGUAAUGUGAAUUGCAGAAUUCAGUGAAUCAUCGAAUCUUUGAACGCACAUUGCGCCCGCCAGUAUUCUGGCGGGCAUGCCUGUCCGAGCGUCAUUUCAACCCUCGAACCCCUCCGGGGGGUCGGCGUUGGGGAUCGGCCCUUUCACCGGGUGCCGGCCCCUAAAUACAGUGGCGGUCUCGCCGCAGCCUCUCAUGCGCAGUAGUUUUCACACUCGCACCGGGAGCGCGGCGCGUCCACGUCCGUAAAACACCCCAACUUCUGAAAUGUUGACCUCGGAUCAGGUAGGAAUACCCGCUGAACUUAAGCAUAUCAAUAAGCGGAGGA